UGUGGAUGUCAUCCGUAUACCAUCACAUGUAGUGUGCUGAAAACACAAAGAAUUUAAAUUUGGUCAGAAAACACAAUACGAUGAUCAUUUUCUUCUGUUUAACCAUUGAUCUUUUUCUGGUUUCAGGUUCCUCUCUCAGCGACAAAGUCCACCAGACUCCAGCUGACAUGUACAACAAACCAGGGGGAACAGCAAAAAUCAACUGCUCACACAGCAUUCAGAACUAUGAUUCCAUUCUCUGGUACAAGCAAUUAAAGAAUAAGCAGCUACAGUUCCUGGGGUACAUGUAUACAAACAUGGAUAAUCCUGAGGCUGGAUUGGGUGUGAAGAUCAAUGGGGGUGCAGAAAAAGACCAGACCUGCACUUUAGAAAUUGAAGGACUCAACCUGAACAGCAAUGCAGUGUAUUUCUGUGCUGCUAGAUUACACAAUCAGAGAUUUUAA